rnacentral:lncRNA from 1 species
ACUUCCUCCUCCCGAGACCAGCCAAGCGCGCCUGGCUGUCUGCCCUUCUUGGGCUCUUGGGGAGAACGUGGUCCGGGAACUGGCAGUCACGGGGAGGCAGCACAAGAGGUUUUCGCCCUCAUGUGCUGGUGCAACUAUCGCGACCAUCACCCUGAGAACUGGAGGAAGGGUGCCGCAGGCAAAGAGUGGCGCGCCUGCAGAUUCGGUUCCGCGCUUGGGGCUCUCGCGAGACCCGGCGCUGGAGUGUGGACCGCGCGUGCCGGUGACGCGUGGUGCAGACACGUCGCCGGUGCCUCUCUCCCUAGGCCUUCCUGGGGGUGAGCUUCCGUCCCAGACGUCUUCGGUCCUACACUGCUUCCAUUUCUUUUUUUUUUUUUUCCUUCUUUUUUUCUUUGAGACAGGGGCUCAUUCUAUCACCCAGGCUGGAGUGCAGCGGCGCGAUCUCGGCCCACCGUAAGCUCCGCCUCCCGGGCUCAAGCGAUCCUCCCACUUCAGCCUCCUGAGUAGCUGGGACUCCAGGUGAGCGCCCUGCUAAUUUUAUAUUUUUGGUAGAGACGGGGUUUCGCCAUGUUGCCCAGGCUGGUCUCAACUCCUGGUCUCAAGUGAUCCGCCUGCCUUGGCCUUCCAAAGUGCUGGGCUUACAGGCGGGAGCCACUGCACCCAGCCCUACGCCCCAUCUUUCUGGGUUUCUGCCUGGUAUUGUUACAUCUCCAACAGGCUUAACUCAAAGCUGACUUUCCGCCUGUGCUGUAUCUGCCCCAUGGUCCUUUAGAGUAUAUAAAAUAUAAAUGGCACUUUGGGAGGCCGAGGCAGGAGGAUUGCUUGAGCUCAGGAGUUACUGACCAGCCUGGGCAACAUAAGCGAAACUCCAUCUCAAAUAAUAAUAAUAAUACAAAUAAAUAAAUGUACACACACAAAUAAAUGGACUUGAUAGCGAUUUUUUUAGGUUUUCAGCUGCCCAAUUCAAGAAAUGUAUUUCUUCUUGUCCCUGAUUUCCGUCACUGUCCCAAGGCAGUGGGAUUAAAGCACCACUACCGUUUUUAGAUCCUUGUGUUUGGCAUUCCAUGUCCUCCUCUCAAGACGUUUGACGUAACUUUCUCCAUCUGCUCUGUUGAAACAUAUGCUUCAAAAUCUUUUUUUUUUUUUUUUUGAGACGGAGUCUCGCUCUGUUGCCCAGGCUGGAGUGCAGUGGCGCGAUCUCGGCUCACUGCAAGCUCCGCCUCCCGGGUUCAAGUGAUUCUCCUGCCUCAGCCUCCCAAGUAGCUAGGACUACAGGCGCCCGCCACCAAGCCCGGCUAAUUUUUUGUAUUUUUAGUAGAGACGGGGUUUCACCGUGUUAGCCAGGAUGGUCUCGAUCUCCUGACCUCGUGAUCCACCUGCCUCGGCCUCCCAAAUUGUUGGGAUUACAGGCGUGAGCCACUGCACCCAGCCUACCAGCCUAGACCUAGUUUUAGUUCCUUUUUUUGCUUCACUCCAUUGUAGCUUAGGAAGCUAGUUUCAAUUCCGGAUUCUACCGUCUAUCUGUAUGACUGGGCCUUUGGUCAGUCUUUCUAAAAUGAAGAUUGCUCAUUUUACAAAUGAGUAAAAACUACCUGACAUGUAGUGCAGGCUUUGUAAAGCACUCAUCAUGCUGCUUGUCAUACUGUAAGCACUGAUAUGGCAUAGGAAACCCAACCCCCAAACAUAGCACCUUGGAAGUUGAGAAAACAGCAUAUACUGGAAGGCCACUGUCACAUCUCCCUCACCCGUCUCUGAAGCAGGCCAUAAAGCCUAGGAAGGUCAUCCUCUUAUCUCUCUUGAAAACCCUCAUGUGGCAGGUGUCCUGCCCUAUAUCAGGGUGGAAGGAAUGUCACACAGGGACACCAAGAAUAAUCUGAACAAACAGGUCUUGCUAAUCUCAUGCCCCCAAUUUAUUACCGUGAGAUCAUACCCGCUUUGUUCAAUCAUACUUCUGCACAACUAUCCACUUUCUCAAACCUAUGCAUAAAAGUACACAGACUUUUCUUUGGGUCAUUUCCUUAGGAAGACUCCCCAUCAUGUAAAACUUAUAUUACACAAAUUUGUAUGCUUUUCUCUUGUUAAUCUGUAUUUUGUUAUAGGAGUCUCAGCCAUGAACCUUACCAUGGUUAAGGAAAACUUGCUUUUUCUUCUCUACACACUCAAAUAAAUUAGUUUGCCUCCUUUUCCAUGCUUACCCAAUAUAAAAUAGUAAAAUGCCUCUUUUUUUUUUUUUUUUUUUUUUUUUCUGAGAGGGAGUCUCGCUCUGUUGCCCAGGCUGGAGUGCAGUGGCGCGAUCUCGGCUCACUGCAACCUCCGCCUCCCAGGUUCAAGCAAUUCUCCAGCCUCAGCCUCCUGAGUAGCUCGGAUUAUAGGUGCCUGCCACCACGCGUGGCUAAUUUUUGUAUUUUUAGUAGAGAAAGGGUUUCGCCAUAAUGGUCAGGCUGGUCUCGAAUUCCUGACCUGAGGUGAUCCACCCAUCUUGACCUCCCAAAGUGCUGGGAUUGCAAGCGUGAGCCACUGCGCCCGGCCUAAAAUGCCUCUUAGUAAGACUUAAUUUCUGUCCAGGCAUGGUGGUUCAUGCCUGUAACCCCAACACUUUGGGAGGCCGAGGCGGGUGGAUCACCUGAGGUCAGGAGUUCGAGACCAGCCUGGCCAACAUGGUGAAACCCCAUCUCUAAUAAAAAUACAAAAAGCAUUAGCCGGGCAUGGUGGCGGUGCCUGUAAUCCCAGCUACUCGGGUGGCUGAGGCAUGAGAAUCACUUGAAUCCGGGAGGUGGAGGUUGCAGUGAGCUGAGAUGGCGCCACUGCACUCAAGCCUGGGUGACACAGCAAAAAUCUGCCUCAAAAAAACAAAAUAAAAAAUGAGAAAAAAUACUUAAUUUGUGCUGUGCCACCAAAAAAUGUGCAUGCUAGAAACUGUACUUUACACUAUGACAUUUUAUGUAACUGUCUUAUUUCCCCCAUGAGACUGCAGUGGUCUCAAGGGUAGAGGAUUGACCUUGUCCAUAUGUGUUUUCUAGGCUUCCAUCAUUUGCCACAGACUGAGACAUGUACUAAGUUGUACGCCGUAAAUACUUCAUAAAUAGUUACUGAAGGCAUAAAUAGGCAGAGAGUAGAGUUUGUUUGUUUGUUUGUUUGCUUACAAAAAAAGGGAAAAGAAAGCAAAUGCUGAAAAAACUUGCUGUUAAACCAUGCACGCACGACAUGAGGUCUUUGUAAUUGGUUCAGGAAGAUUUCCUUCUCCCCAUGCUCCACCCUCUUCAUUACAAAGAUGAAAUUAUUUUUAUGUUUAAUAUUUAUUUAUUUAUUGAGACGGAGUUUUGCUCUUGUUGCCCAGUCUGGAGUGCAAUGGCAUGAUCUCAGUUCACUGCAACCUCCAUCUCCUGGGUUCAAGCGAUUCUCCUGCCUUAGCCUCCCAAGUAGCUAGGAUUAUAGGCAUGCGCCACCAUGCUCAGAUAAUUUUGUAUUUUUAGUAGAGAUGGGGUUUAGCCAUGUUGGUCAGGCUGGUCUCGAACUCCUGACCUCAGGUGAUCCGCCCGCCUUUGCCUUCCCAAAGUGUUGGGGUUAUAGGUGUGAGCCACUGCAUCUAGCCUUUUUUUUUUCUUUUUUUCUUUUGAGACAGAGUCUCACUCUGUUGCCCAGGCUGGAGUGCAGUGUCAUGUGAUCUUCGCUCACUGCAACCUCCUCCUCCCAGGUUCAAGUAGUUCUUCUGUCUCAGCCUCCUGAGUAGCUGGGACUACAGGCACCCGCCACCACACUCAGCUAAUUUUUUGUAUUUUUAGUAAAGACAGGGUUUCACCAUAUCGGUCAGGCUGGUCUUGAACUCCUGACCUCAGGUGAUCCACCCGCCUCAGCCUCCCAAAGUGCUGGGAUUAUAGGCUUGAGCCACCACGCCCAGCCAUGGCCUAUUAUUAUUAUUAUUAUUAUUAUUAUUACUAUUAUUAUUAUUAUUAUUAUUAUUUUGUGACAGAGUCUUGCUCUGUUGCCAGGCUGGAGUGCAGUGGUGCUAUCUUGGCUCACUGCAACCUCCACCUCCCAGGUACAAGCGAUUCUGCUGCCUCAGCCUUCUGAGUAGCUGGGAUUAUAGGCGCGCGCCACGACACCCAGCUAAUUUUUGUAUUUUUAGUAGAGACGAGGUUUCACCAUGUUGGCCAGGAUGGUCUCAAUCUCUUGACCUCAUGAUCCGCCUGCCUUGGCAUCCCAAAGUGCUGAGAUUACAGCCAUAUAUUUAUUAUUAUUAUUAUUAUUAUUAUUAUUUUGAGACAGGUUCUUGCUCUGUCACCCAGCCUGGAGUGCAGUGGCAUGAUCUUGGCUCACUGCAACCUCUGCCUCCUGGGAUCAAGCAAUUCUCUUGCUUUAGCCUCCCGAGUAGCUGGGAUUACAGGCACACAACACCACACCUGCCUAAUUCUUCUACGUUUUGUAGAGAUGGAGUCUCGCCAUGUUGCCCAGCCUGGUCUUGAAUUCCUGGCUUCAAGUGAUCCUCUAGCCUCAGCCUCCCAAAUUGCUGGGAUUACAAGGAUGAGCCAAUGCACCCAGCCUGUGUUUAUUCUUUUAAAUGAUAGUAAAGUACAAUAGAGGGAGAGAAUUGCAGGUUAUAUUUUUUGUUUGUUUCUCUGUUUUUUAUUUAAUGUCUCCCCAGAAACCUCCAUAGGUGCUUCACUUUCUAGUUUAGUUCCUGCUAAUUUUAAUAGCUCAAAUGUUACCCUAUCAGGGGUGUCAGUGGGAGAGCCCUGCGGAAGUGGAGUUCCCUGAGGAGGAAAGUUUCUACAUUCAGAAAAGACUUGGCUUGGGUUUUGUCGGGAGGUAAAAAUGGGUCAGUGACUCAGAAAAGCUUGCCUAAAAGCUGACAUCUAGUGUUCAUUUCUGAAAAUAUGUCCUGACAUACUAACCCUGAGAUUUUCUAUCCCAAGAACUGUUUUUAUUGAUUUUAUUGUUACGCACCAGAUUUCAAGACCAUUUGACUACCCAAAGAAACACAACUUAGAAAAUAAUUAUGGUUUUCACUUUGUUUUAAUCACAAUACAUAUAAUACUGCCAAAACAGGACUUUGGAUCAACAGACAUAAUAGCAAUUAUUAUUAUUUUAUUUUACUUAUUAUUAUUAUUUUUGAGACGGAGUGUCACUCUAUUGCCCAAGCUGGAGUGCAGUGGCAGGAUCUUGGCUGACUGCAACCUCCGCCUCUCGGGUUCAAGCGAUUCUCCUGCCUCAGCCUCCCAGGUAGCUGGGAUUACAGGCAUGCGCCACCAGGCCUGGCUAAGUUUGUAUUUUUAGUAGAGAUGGGGUUUCACCAUGUUGGCCAGGCUGGUCUCGAACUCCUGACCUCAGGUGAUUCACCUGCCUCGGCCUCCCAAAGUGCUGGGAUUACAGGCGUGAGCCACUGCACCUGGCCAGCAAUUAUUUUAUUUAUUUGAGAUAGAAUCUCACUUUGUUGCCCAGGUCUGACUUUGCAGUGGCACAAGCAUGGCUCACCACAGUCUAGAUCUCCUGGGCUCAAGCAGUCCUCCCGCCUCAGCCUCCCUAGUAGCUGAUACCAUAGGCCUGCACCAUCGUGGCCAGCUUUUAAAAUUUAUUUUUGUAGAGACAGGGUCUCACUGUGCUGCCCAGGCUGGUCUCAAAUUCCCAAACUCAAAGGAUCGUCCUGCCUCAGCCACCUAAAGUGCUGGGAUUACAAGCAUGUGCCACCUUGCCUGACUCCAGUUGAUUUUUCAUUUUUAUUUUUAUUUUAUGUUUUGGGAAGGGUCUUGCUUUGUUGCCCAGGGUGGAGUGCACUUGUGCAAUCUCAGCUCCCCGCAGCCUUGACCUCCUGGGCCCGGGCAAUCCUCCCACCUCAACCUCCCAAAUAGCUGGGACUACAGGUACAUGCCACCAUGCUGGCUAAUUUUUAAUUUUCUGUAAAAACAGGAGUCUCACAGCCCAGCAUGGUGGCUCACGCCUGUAAUCCUAGUACUUUGGGAGGCUAGGGCAGGAGGACCACUUGAGACCAGCCUGGGCAACAGAGUGGGACCCCUCUCUCUUUUUAAAAUUAUUUUUUAUCUUUUUUUUUUUUUUUUUUUUAAACAGGGUCUUGUUCUGUCACCCAGGCUGGAGUGCAGUGGUGUGAUCUCAGCUCAGUGCAGCCUCAACUGCCAGGGCUCAAGUGAUCCUCCCAACUCAGCCUCCCGCAUAGCUGGGACUACAGGUGUGUGCCGCCAUGCCUGGCUAAUUUUUAAUUUUUUUUGUAGGGAUGGAGUUUCACCAUGUUGCCCAGUCUGGUCUGGAACUCCUGGGCUCAAGCUAUCCACCCAUCUCAGUCUCCUAAAGUGCUGGGACUACAGGCGUGAGCAACUGCACCUGGCUGAUCCAUCAUUUUUAAUAGUGAGAUAUUUGAAAUUUACUCUUCUAGUUAUUUUGAAAGAGAAACUAUGGCUGGGCAUGAUGGCUUAUGCCUACAAUCCCGCGCUUUGGGAGGCCAAGGCGGGUGGAUCAUCUGAGGUCAGGAGUUCUAGACCAGCCUGGCCAACAUAGUGAAACCCCUUCUCUACUAAAAAUACAAAAAUUAGCCGGGCGUGGUGGCGGGCGCCUGUAAUCCCAGCUACUUGGGGGGGCCGAGGCAGGAGAAUCGCUUGAAGCUGGGAGGCGGGAGGUUGCAGUGAGCCGAGAUCACGCCACUGCACUCCAGCCUGGGUGACAGAGUGAGACUCCAUCUCAGAAAAAAAAAAAAAAGAGAAACUACAUCGUUAUUAUUAUUUUGUUGUUGUUGUUGGUUUUGGCCAAACUUUUUAUUUAGUAUGCUGUAGUUGUUUAACACACACUUAAAUGGUCUUAUUGGGGGAGGGGAAAGGAGAGGUUCCUGCAGAUUCCCAAACAAAUGUCAGAAAGGCAAAAUAGCCAGCAUUCUCCAUUUGCUUUUUUGGGUUUACUGGGUGAAUAGCACUUCCCUUACAUAGGCAUCUGAUUUCAGGUUUUUCAUACUGAGAACAUUGAGAUUUCAGCUGGAAGACACCCUGAAAUCUUCUGAGUAGCAUACCUCAACCACCCUCUAAUAACUGACUUGUUUGUAUAGGCAGAACGAUUCAUCUCUCCAUUUUAGAUGGCUAGAUAAAACUACAUCAUUAUUGAUUAUAGUCACUCUAUUGUGCAGUAAAUCUCAAAGCCUUCUAUCUGAAAUUUUGCACCCUUUGAUUAACAAUUCCCCAUUCUCCUCGUCUCCACUCUCCCCAGCCUCUGGUAGCCAUCAUUCUACUAUCUGCUGCUAUGAAUUUGACAUGUUUGGAUUCCACAUAUAAGUGAGAUCAUGUAGUAUUUGUCUUUCUAUACCUGGCUUAUUUCACUUAGCAUAAUGUUUUCCAGAUUCAUCCAUCUUGUCACAAAUGAUGGUAUUUACCUACAUUUUUGUUUUUGGAGACAGGGUCUCACUUUGUUGUCCAGGUUGGAGUGCAGUGGUACAAACACAGCUCACUGCAACCUCAACCUUGACCAGGCUCAAGUGAUCCUCUCACCUCAGCCCCCCAAGUAGCUGGGACUACAGGCGUGAACCACCACACCCUGCUAAUUUUUUUUUGUUUUUGAUACGGAGCCUCACUCUGUCACCAGGAUGGAGUACAGUGGUGCCAUCUUGUCUCACUGCAACCUCUGCCUCCCAGGUUCAAGCAAUUCUCCUGCCUCAGCCUCCUGAGUAGCUGGGAUUACAGGUGCACACCACCACGGUCAGCUAAUUUUUGUAUUUUUAGUAGAGACAGGGUUUAACCAUGUUGGCCAGGAUGGUCUCAAUCUCUUGCCCUCGUGAUCCUCCCGCCUCAGCCUCCCAAAGUGCUGGGAUUACAGGCAUGAACCACCGUGCCCGGCCUGGACUUUUUUCUUUUUUUUGAGACAGGGUCUCACUAUGUUGCUCAGGCUGGAGUGCAGUGGCGCAGUCUCAGCUCACCGCAACCUCUGCCUCCCAGGUUCAAGCGAUUCUCCUGUUUCAGUCUCCCAAGAAGCUUGGGAUUACAGGUGCCUGCCACCAUGCCCAGUUAAUUUUUGUAUUUUUAGUAGAGACAGGGUUUCACCACAUUGGCCAGGCUGGUCUUGAACUCCUGACCUCAGGUGAUCUGCCUGCCUCAGCCUUCCAAAGUGCUGGGAUUACAUGCUUGAGCCAACGCGCCUAGCCAAAAAGGACUUCUAUAGGAAGGACAAAUAGGUUUCUCUAAAAAAGACAAAUGUGUUUUUAGAAGAACAAAUGGGAGACAUGCAAACAUUAUCACAAACCAAACUUUCUUAUAUAGGUGUGAGUGGUCUUUUUCAGGUUCAUAAAACUGCCAGAGAGGGGAUUUAUGGUAGGUUUAUUCUGGGUCUCUCCCCUGGGAGUAGAAGCCACCCCAAACAGGAAAUUUAUGUCCGUCCUCAUUUCUCAGAAGUUUCUACUUUUAAUCAAAUAAGGGAAGUCCCAAGGAAGCUUCUUUCUGCAUCUGUUCCAUCUCAAAUGUCUUCAGCUUAAAAUAAUCUUUAUACUAACUCCAGUGUUCUGAGUGGGACCCCACAAUUGUAUAUUUAAUCACCUUGUGAAACUUGACAAGUAUUUAACCCAACAUUUUCUGAUUUGGAAUAUUUUAGAGAAUGUGAUUCAUUAAUAAAUCAUUUAUCAAAAAAAGAGAUCAUUGGUUUGACAGUGCUGGGCUUACAGGCAUGGGCCACCAUGCCCGGCCAGCAGUAUGUAUUUUAGUUGACUGGCAAACAGACAAUUGUUCCCUUUUUUCCUUUUUUAAAUUUCAAGCCUUGUCACUGUGUCAUAAGACAAUUGUUCAUGAUGUCAUAAAUGUAAUUUUUACUUCAAUAAACUAUAAUACACUUGUAACAUUCCAGGCUCUUUUUAUUGUGUGUGUGUGUGUGUGUUCUUUUUUAAAUUUUUAAUUAUUGGCUGGGCACAGUGUCUCAUGCCUGUAAUCCUAGCACUUUGGGACGCCAAAGCAGGUGAAUCACUUGAGGUCAGGAGUUCAAGACCAGCCUGGGCAACAUGGUGAAACCGCGUCUCUACUAAAAAUACAAAAAUUAGCUGGGUGUGGUGACACACAUUUGUAAUUGCAGCUACUCAGGAGGCUGAGGAAUGAGAAUCACUUGAACCCGGGAGAUGGAGGUUUCAGUGAGCCGAAAUCGCACCAGUGCACACCGGUCUAGGUGACAGAAUGAGAAUCUGUCUCAAAAUAAAAAAAAAUGGUUUUCAGGCCUUUCUUUUUUUUGUUAGAGACAGGAUUUCACUCUGUCUCCCAGACUGGAGUGCAGUGACACAAUCAUAGUUCACUGCAGCCUUGAGCUGUUGGGCUCAGGGAAUCCUGCCUCAGCCUCUUGAGUGGCUGGGACUACAAGCAUGCCACGAUGCCUAGCUAUUUUUAUUUAUUUUUUAUUUUUAUUUAUUUAUUUUUGAAACAGAGUCUUGCUUUGUCACCCAGGCUGGAAUGCAGUGGUGCGAUCUGGCUCACUGCAACCUCCGCCUCCUGGGUUCAAGCAAUUCUCCUGCCUCAGCCUCCUGAGUAGCUGGGACUACAGGCGUGCACCACCACACCCAGCUAAUUUUUGUAUUUUUAGUAGAAACGGGGUUUCACCAUGUUAGCCAGGCUGGUCUCGAACUCUUGACCUCAGGUAAUCCAUCUGCCUCGGCCUCCCAAAUUGCUGGGAUUACAGGCGGUAGUCACCAUGUCUGGCCAAUUUUUAAAAAGAUUUUACAGAGACAGAGUCUUGCUAUGUUGCCCAGGCUGGUCUUGAACUCCUGGCCUCAAGCGAUCCUCCCACCUGGGCCUCCCAAAAUCCUGGGAUUAUGGGCAUGACCCACCCCAACCAUCCUGGUUUUUAGGCCUUUGUAACUAAAUAAUUUAUUCACUCAAGUGACAACUCUCUGCUUCCAUAGCAAAAUACAAAGAUUUAUGAAAGAUUUUUCCAGAUAAAAUCAUUUAACUUUAGGCCAGGCGUGAUGGCCCAUGCUGUAAUCCCAGCACUUUGAGAGGCUGAGUGGGUCAAUCACAUGAGGUCAGGAGUUCGAGACCAGCCUGGCCAACAUGGUGAGACUCUGUCUCAUUGUUCCUUAGAAAUCCAAGAGUAGGCUGAGCGUGGUGGUUCAGGCCUGUAAUCCCAUAACUUUGGGAGGCCGAGGUGGGUGGAUCACCUUGGGUCAGAAGUUCGAGACCAGCCUGGUCAACAUGGUGAAAUCCCGUCUCUACUAAAAGUACAAAAAUUAGCAGGGCAUGGUGGUGGGUGCCUGUAAUCCCAGCUAUUCAGGAGGCUGAGGCAGGAGAAUCGAUUAAACCUGGGAGGCGGAGGUUGCAGUGAGCCGAGAUCAUGCCAUCGUACUCCAGCCUGGGUGACAAGAGUGAAACUCCAUCUCAAAAAAAACAAAAAACAAAAAAAAUUAAGAGGAGCUUCUGUUACAAUAACUGUUUUAGUCAAAAAAUCAGGUGAAAACAGAACUCAGUCAACUGAGAAGCAAAAAAAAGACAAGGUCUCAGGAGAGAAAAACAAACAAAAAACAAAAACACAAAGGCCUUUCAAAUACGAACAUGCACACAUGCACACAUACACACACACAUCUUGGAUGUUAACUUUUUAAUUAAGCUGACUUUUAACCAUUAAGCUCAUUUUUAAAAAAAUUUUUUUAUCUUUUUUUUUUUGAGACGGAGUCUCUCUCUGUCGCCCAGGCUGGAGUGCAAUGGUGUGAUCUUGGCUUACUGCAACCUCUGCCUUCCGUGUUCAAGUAAUUCUCCUGCCUCAGCCUCCUGAGUAGCUGGGAUUACAGGCACGCACCACCACGCCCGGCUAAUUUUUUUAUUUUUCGUAGUGACAGGGUUUCACCAUGUUAGGCUGGUCUUGAACUCCAGACCUCGUGAUCCACUUGCCUCAGCCUCCCCACCUGCUGGGAUUACAGGUGUGAGCCACUGUGCCCAGCCUUUUUAAAAUCUUAUUACCAUAUUUCAGCUAAGACAAAAUGCUGUUAUUUCAGAAAUACAGGCAUUGCUCUUUCAGUUUGGUCUGGCUGGCAAAAAGGUGGCCUUGUUAUGUAAAUAGAGCCCCUUUAGUAGUUAAAAUUUAAAAUCUUUUCUUUUCUCUUAUAUUUUCCCUCUUGUUGGCUGUUUUCCUCCCACUUCAGAGGCCUUGUUCCCAGUAAUUUAGGGUUCCCCUUCUGAUUUGACCAAGACAGAAACAAAACAGUUAAGCACAACUAUUUCUGAGCGCCCUAAGUGUAAGCAGAAGUUAACACCAGCUGGUUGUUCAUGCUAAUUUUAGUCAUUUAAAAGAAUUUGCAAGACAGAAUCCCAAACCAGUUUCUUACCUAGUGACGGGGCCAAGCCGGAGAUCGCUCUCCACUGAUGCAGAAGCAGAUGAAUUCGCCUUCCUUGGUGGAAGCGAAUGGAAAAACUCCCACAAAAAGGGAGUUUUGUUUUUUUUAAAAAAAACAGCAAAUAAACCUCAGACCCCCAGCUGAAAAAUGCUGGAAGAUCAGAGAUUCUCGGAGGAAAGAGGUCCUGGACUUUGGCAAAUUGUCUUGUCGGUUUGGGCUGUAAGGUGUCCAAGCCAACACCAAGCACCAAGAGGCGAACUGCUGCAGGCUGGGCCACUUUCAUCUAGGAUCCCUUCCUGAUUACCAGAUGUCAGUCGAGAAAAAUGAUGAGACAAGUCUCAAUCAUUUUAGGAGAUGUAUUUGUCAAAGUUAAGAAAGCGCACAGGAGACAGGUCUAUGCUUUCUCCGAAGAUGAUUUUGAGGGUUCCAAAUUUAAAGGGGAAAGGGCAGGAUAUUGAGAAGCACACAGUUUUUACAUAAACAAAAGAGGCAGGGAAAAAAUAUGGGGAAUCUGCAUUUUACCUAAGAUAAUACGGACAAAAUGGGGUAGGGGAACAAUCAGGUACACAUUUUUGUCUGGUGGGCUGGGGUGACCGCACCUGUAAAGCUAAGCUAUCAAUUUGCAUUGUCGGCUGGGCACAGUGGCACACGCCUGUAAUCCCAGCACUUUGGGAGGCUGAGGCGGGUGGAUCACCUGAGGUUGGGAGUUUGAGACCAACCUGCCCAAGGUGGUGAAACCCAGUCUCUACUAAAAAUACAAAAAAAAAAAAAAAAAAAAUUAGUCAGGUGUGGUGGCGG